UACGUAGGGGGCGAGCGUUGUCCGGAAUUAUUGGGCGUAAAGGGUUCGUAGGCGGUCUUUUAAGUCAGAUGUGAAAGGUCACGGCUCAACCGUGGUAAGCAUUUGAAACUGAGAGACUUGAGUUAAGGAGAGGAAAGUGGAAUUCCUAGUGUAGCGGUGAAAUGCGUAGAUAUUAGGAGGAAUACCAGUGGCGAAGGCGACUUUCUGGACUUAUACUGACGCUGAGGAACGAAAGCGUGGGGAGCAAACAGG
rnacentral:rRNA from 1 species